UACAGGGGGUGCAAACGUUGCUCGGAAUCAUUGGGCGUAAAGCGCACGUAGGCGGUUCGUUAUGUCGGAUGUGAAAGCCCUUGGCUUAACCGAGGAAGUGCAUCCGAAACUGGCGAGCUAGAGUACUAAAGAGGAUCGCGGAAUUCCCGGUGUAGAGGUGAAAUUCGUAGAUAUCGGGAGGAACACCGGUGGCGAAGGCGGCGACCUGGUCCGAUACUGACGCUGAGGCGCGAAAGCGUGGGGAGCAAACAGG
rnacentral:rRNA from 1 species